GCUGUGGGUCCCCUAGGACAAGAUUGAAAACCACUGGUCUAAACUGGUAUUAACUAUUCCUGGUAAAUCGCGGAGAAGAGUGGCCUGAACAAAAAAGUCAGACCGAGACUAGAACCGCCCGCAGCGUAACACGGAAAUCUUGGAACAAAAGAGACGCAGAGUGGCUCGUGUUGUCCGGUUUGGAUAUCAGCGGCAAAGCGAACGUUGUGUGUACUAUUGCAAAAUAUAUAGCGGAUCUCCACGGUUAGGAUACAGACCACAACGCUUUGGACGUAUCUUUAAAAAAGAGAAAAAUCAGAGACUUUUUGGAUUUGUCUGGGGACAUUUUAAACAUUUUGUGGCAAAUUGGAUUUAAAACAUUUCGGAUAUUGGAUACCUAGUUUGAUUUGUCCACAGAGCUUGUUUAAGACGUUUUCACCUCAUUUUAGGGUUUAUUUUUAAUUAAAGGCUUCUUAAAACAUGUAUGAAAAUGUGUAUAUUAUACAAUGAGUCUUAUAUU